rnacentral:rRNA from 1 species
AGUAAUGCUUGGGAAUCUAGCUUAUGGAGGGGGAUAACUACGGGAAACUGUAGCUAAUACCGCGUAGAAUCGGGAGAUGAAAGUGUGGGACCUUCGGGCCACAUGCCAUAGGAUGAGCCCAAGUGGGAUUAGGUAGUUGGUGAGAUAAAGGCUCACCAAGCCGACGAUCUCUAGCUGGUCUGAGAGGAUGACCAGCCACACUGGGACUGAGACACGGCCCAG